GGGUGUUACAGCUCCAUUUAGAAUUUGUCUAGCAGGCUUUUGGGUUGCUACCAGAAGCACCCCC